rnacentral:rRNA from 1 species
CGACUCUCUGGUCUGUAACUGACGCUGAGGCGCGAAAGCGUGGGGAGCAAACAGGAUUAGAUACCCUGGUAGUCCACGCCGUAAACGAUGAGUGCUAGGUGUUAGGGGUUUCGACGCCCUUAGUGCCGAAGUUAACACAUUAAGCACUCCGCCUGGGGAGUACGACCGCAAGGUUGAAACUCAAAGGAAUUGACGGGGGCCCGCACAAGCAGUGGAGCAUGUGGUUUAAUUCGAAGCAACGCGAAGAACCUUACCAGGUCUUGACAUCCUUUGACCACCCUAGAGAUAGGGCUUUCCCCUUCGGGGGACAAAGUGACAGGUGGUGCAUGGUUGUCGUCAGCUCGUGUCGUGAGAUGUUGGGUUAAGUCCCGCAACGAGCGCAACCCUUGACCUUAGUUGCCAGCAUUCAGUUGGGCACUCUAAGGUGACUGCCGGUGACAAACCGGAGGAAGGUGGGGAUGACGUCAAAUCAUCAUGCCCCUUAUGACCUGGGCUACACACGUGCUACAAUGGAUGGUACAAAGGGUUGCGAAGCCGCGAGGUGAAGCCAAUCCCAGAAAGCCAUUCUCAGUUCGGAUUGCAGGCUGCAACUCGCCUGCAUGAAGCCGGAAUUGCUAGUAAUCGCGGAUCAGCAUGCCGCGGUGAAUACGUUCCCGGGCCUUGUACACACCGCCCGUCACACCACGAGAGUUUGUAACACCCGAAGUCGGUGGGGUAACCCUUUUGGAGCCAGCCGCCUAAGUGGGACAGAUGAUUGGGGUGAAGUCGUAC